rnacentral:rRNA from 1 species
UACAGAGGUCUCAGGCGUUGUUCGGAUUCAUUGGGCGUAAAGGGUGUGUAGGUGGCGCGCUACGUCGGUUGUGAAAUUUCGGAGCUUAACUCCGAAACUGCAUUCGAUACUGGCGUGCUUGAGGACUGGAGAGGAGACUGGAAUUCAUGGUGUAGCAGUGAAAUGCGUAGAGAUCAUGAGGAAGACCAGUGGCGAAGGCGGGUCUCUGGACAGUUCCUGACGCUGAGGCACGAAGGCCAGGGGAGCAAACGGG